rnacentral:rRNA from 1 species
UACAGAGGUCCCAAGCGUUGUUCGGAUUCACUGGGCGUAAAGGUGCGUAGGUGGCUGGGAAAGUUUGAUGUGAAAGCUCAGGGCUUAACCCUGAAAUGGCAUUGAAUACUGCCUGGCUGGAGGUUUGGAGGGGGGACUGGAAUUCCUGGUGUAGCGGUGAAAUGCGCAGAUAUCAGGAGGAACACCGGUGGCGAAGGCGGGUCUCUGGGCCGAUACUGACGCUGAGGAGCGAAAGCGUGGGGAGCGAACAGG